UACGUAGGGGGCGAGCGUUGUCCGGAUUUAUUGGGCGUAAAGAGCUCGUAGGCGGUUUGGCAAGUCGGGUGUGAAAACUCCGGGCUCAACUCGGAGACGCCACUCGAUACUGCCAUGACUCGAGUCCGGUAGGGGAGUGCGGAAUUCCUGGUGUAGCGGUGGAAUGCGCAGAUAUCAGGAGGAACACCGGUGGCGAAGGCGGUUCUCUGGGCAUUACCUGACGCUGAGGAGCGAAAGCAUGGGGAGCGAACAGG
rnacentral:rRNA from 1 species